GGCGAACGCUGGCGGCGUGCUUAACACAUGCAAGUCGAGCGGUAAGGCCCUUUCGGGGGUACACGAGCGGCGAACGGGUGAGUAACACGUGGGUGACCUGCCCUCAGCUCUGGGAUAAGCCUGGGAAACCGGGUCUAAUACCGGAUAUGACUCCAUGACGCAUGUUGUGGGGUGGAAAGCCUUGUGCGGCUGAGGAUGGGCCCGCGGCCUAUCAGCUUGUUGGUGGGGNGAUGGCCUACCAAGGCGACGACGGGUAGCCGGCCUGAGAGGGCGACCGGCCACACUGGGACUGAGACACGGCCCAGACUCCUACGGGAGGCAGCAGUGGGGAAUCUUGCGCAAUGGGCGAAAGCCUGACGCAGCGACGCCGCGUGAGGGAUGACGGCCU
rnacentral:rRNA from 1 species